UACGUAGGGGGCAAGCGUUGUCCGGAGUUACUGGGCGUAAAGCGCACGCAGGCGGUCUUUUAAGUUUGGAGUGACAGUUGGUGGCUUAACUGCCAAAGUGCUUCGAAAACUGAAAGACUUGAGGGCUUCAGAGGGACACGGAAUUCCGGGUGGAGUGGUGAAAUGCGUAGAGAUCCGGAGGAACACCGACGGCGUAAGCAGCGCCCUAAACGAGUACUGACGCUCAGGCACGAAAGCUGGGGGGAGCAAACAGG
rnacentral:rRNA from 1 species